UACGUAGGCAGCAAGCGUUGUUCGGAGUUACUGGGCGUAAAGGGUGCGUAGGCGGUCCUAUAAGUAUGGUGUGAAAAUCUCCCCGGCUUAACUGGGAGGGUGCGCUAUAGACUGUGGGACUAGAGUGUGGGAGAGGAAAGUGGAAUUCCUGGUGUAGCGGUGAAAUGCGUAGAUAUCAGGAGGAAUACCGAUGGCGAAGGCAGGUCUCUGGGCUGACACUGACGCUCAUGCACGAA
rnacentral:rRNA from 1 species